CUGAGACAACUGCCCUAUGGGUAGAACUCACACCCUUGAAUACAAUACCAUUUGUUGCUUUGGCGGGCCACAGGCUUUUGCACAUGGACUUCGGUUCGUGAGUGCCCGCCAGAGAACCCUAAACUCUUGUUUACAGUGUCGUCUGAGUACUAUAUAAUAGUUA
rnacentral:misc_RNA from 1 species